UGGCUAUGGGGGGUGCUAUACAUGCAAGUCGAGCGGACAGAUGGGAGCUUGCUCCCUGAUGUUAGCGGCGGACGGGUGAGUAACACGUGGGUAACCUGCCUGUAAGACUGGGAUAACUCCGGGAAACCGGGGCUAAUACCGGAUGGUUGUUUGAACCGCAUGGUUCAAACAUAAAAGGUGGCUUCGGCUACCACUUACAGAUGGACCCGCGGCGCAUUAGCUAGUUGGUGAGGUAAUGGCUCACCAAGGCAACGAUGCGUAGCCGACCUGAGAGGGUGAUCGGCCACACUGGGACUGAGACACGGCCCAGACUCCUACGGGAGGCAGCAGUAGGGAAUCUUCCGCAAUGGACGAAAGUCUGACGGAGCAACGCCGCGUGAGUGAUGAAGGUUUUCGGAUCGUAAAGCUCUGUUGUUAGGGAAGAACAAGUACCGUUCGAAUAGGGCGGUACCUUGACGGUACCUAACCAGAAAGCCACGGCUAACUACGUGCCAGCAGCCGCGGUAAUACGUAGGUGGCAAGCGUUGUCCGGAAUUAUUGGGCGUAAAGGGCUCGCAGGCGGUUUCUUAAGUCUGAUGUGAAAGCCCCCGGCUCAACCGGGGAGGGUCAUUGGAAACUGGGGAACUUGAGUGCAGAAGAGGAGAGUGGAAUUCCACGUGUAGCGGUGAAAUGCGUAGAGAUGUGGAGGAACACCAGUGGCGAAAGCGACUCUCUGGUCUGUAACUGACGCUGAGGAGCGAAAGCGUGGGGAGCGAACAGGAUUAGAUACCCUGGUAGUCCACGCCGUAAACGAUGAGUGCUAAGUGUUAAGGGGGUUUCCGCCCCUUAGUGCUGCAGCUAACGCAUUAAGCACUCCGCCUGGGGGAGUACGGGUCGCAAGACUGAAACUCAAAGGAAUUGACGGGGCCCGCACAAGCGGUGGAGCAUGUGGUUUAAUUCGAGCAACGCGAGAACUUACCAGGUCUGACAUCUCUGACAUCCUAGAGAUAGUACGUCCCCU
rnacentral:rRNA from 1 species